rnacentral:misc_RNA from 1 species
UGUGAGGAUUUAGUUUAGGGCAUUGUGUAUUUGGACAUCGGUUUCUUUUAGUGAAGAUUUCUUACUGCUGCAAUUCUUUCAAUGCAUUUUUUCUUUUUUCUGCCUCAACGCAUUUGAGACAGACCGACUCAAAUAGAUGAUUGUGCAUUGCUUCCAUCAAACAUUUACUGUGUGAUAAAUGUUUCAUAUUUUUUUAAUUGUAAUGCUUGUAUUUGAAUUUCAG